rnacentral:rRNA from 1 species
CCUACGGGAGGCAGCAGUAGGGAAUCUUCCGCAAUGGACGAAAGUCUGACGGAGCAACGCCGCGUGAACGAUGAAGGCCUUCGGGUCGUAAAGUUCUGUUGUUAGGGAAGAACAAGUGCUAGUUGAAUAAGCUGGCACCUUGACGGUACCUAACCAGAAAGCCACGGCUAACUACGUGCCAGCAGCCGCGGUAAUACGUAGGUGGCAAGCGUUGUCCGGAAUUAUUGGGCGUAAAGCGCGCGCAGGCGGUUUCUUAAGUCUGAUGUGAAAGCCCCCGGCUCAACCGGGGAGGGUCAUUGGAAACUGGGAAACUUGAGUGCAGAAGAGGAAAGUGGAAUUCCAAGUGUAGCGGUGAAAUGCGUAGAGAUUUGGAGGAACACCAGUGGCGAAGGCGACUUUCUGGUCUGUAACUGACGCUGAGGCGCGAAAGCGUGGGGAGCAAACAGGAUUAGAUACCCUGGUAGUCCACGCUGUAAACGAUGAGUGCUAAGUGCUAGAGGGUUUCCGCCCUUUAGUGCUGAAGUUAACGCAUUAAGCACUCCGCCUGGGGAUACGGUCGCAAGACUGAAACUCAAAGGAUUGACGG